AUUUAUGGACUUCCUGGUUACAGCCCUGCACUGGCUUUCUCAAUGUGGUAUCUCCAUGCAGGGAAACCUUCUAAUCCCCAGUAAAAUGAAAGAGAGCAUAAAUAUUCAGUAACUUGAGGAUUUAAGUAAAUGCUCAGUGUCCUACCUAUAAACAUGUCUGCAGAGGAUCUUGGUUUGUUCCUUGGAGAUGAACCAAAUGCUUUAGCUAUGGGAUAACUGAGAAGGAUUAUUUCAGCAGACUGGGCAUUAUCGUUCCACUAUCUCUUAUCCCCUGCUGAUGUAUGAGAAAGACAAGCCUUUUGAGGGAGUGAAGUGCUCAUUUCUUCUCUUUAUCUCUUCCACUGAAGGACUUCCCUGGUGGCACAGUGGAUAAGAAUCUGCCUGCCAGUGCAGGGGACACGGGUUCGAUCCCUGGAAGAUUCCACAUGCCGCUGAACAACUAAGCCUGGGCGCCACAGCUACUGAGCCCUUGCUCUGGAGCCCUCAAGUGCAGCUACUGAAGCCUGCUUGCCUAGAGCCUGUGCUCAGAAACAAGAGAAGCCACUGCUGUGAGAAGCCCUCACACAAUAACUAGAGAGCAGCCCCUAUUCUCCGGAACUAGAGAAAGCCCUCGCAGCAACGGAGACCCAGUGCAGCCAAAACUAAGUAAAUAAAAUAUAGCAGGGUGUACAUGUCAAAAAAAUAAA
ensembl:lncRNA